rnacentral:rRNA from 1 species
UACUCAGUUCGGAUUGAAGGCUGAAAUUCGCCUUCAUGAAGCUGGAAUUGCUAGUAAUGGCAGGUCAGCAUACUGCCGUGAAUACGUUCCCGGGCCUUGUACACACCGCCCGUCACACCAUGAGAGUUGGGAAUACCCGAAGCCUGUGAGCUAACUUUUAGAGGCAGCAGUCGAAGGUAGAAUCAAUGAUUGGGGUGAAGUCGUAACAAGGUAAC